rnacentral:rRNA from 1 species
AGCGAACGCUGGCGGCAGGCUUAACACAUGCAAGUCGAGCGCUCGUAGCAAUACGAGAGCGGCAGACGGGAGAGUAACACGUGGGAACGUACCCUUUGGUUCGGAACAACACAGGGAAACUUGUGCUAAUACCGAAUAAGCCCUUACGGGAAGAUUAUCGCCAAAGGAUCGGCCCGCGUCUGAUUAGCUAGUUGGUGGGGUAAUGGCCCACCAAGGCGACGAUCAGUAGCUGGCUGAGAGGAUGACCAGCCUCAUUGGGACUGAGACACGGCCCAAACUCCUACGGGAGGCAGCAGUGGGGAAUAUUGGACAAUGGGCGCAAGCCUGAUCCAGCCAUGCCGCGUGGAUGAUGAAGGCCUUAGGGUUGU